rnacentral:lncRNA from 1 species
AAAAGGUAACAAGAGAAGAUACCCAAGACAGCUUUCCAGCCCCUGGGUUUCACCAUAGGUGAUUUUUCCCACCGUGAGUGACAGACGAAAUCCCCCACGAUUCCACUAACCCAAAUUUGGGGCUGUGGACAGUCCUGACCAGGGAACAAUCGUGCUGUGUCCUGGACCUUUUGGACGGCAUGUGGCCCAAGGGCUCAACUGACAGGAGAAACGGGAGGAUUGCUUUAUACCCCCUUAGGGCCAGGGUCACAUUGCUGAUUAAUAGCAGUAUUAGGCCUAAAGUUCAAUAAUUCUGCUCCUAUUUGAGGGCUCUUUCCAGGGAAACCUCAGUCAUGGUAUCGGACCAAAAAAAAAAAAAAAAAAAAAUCUAUCUCCACAUACAGGUAUGUAAACCCCCACAGCGUUCUUUGAUGGAAUCCAGUAAGUCAUGGAUAAGGUGAGCAAGUGACUUGCACUGACUCAAAUAACCCCAAUUUCCAAACAGGAGAAUCUACCUACGUCUAAAGUCUUCUCUUCCCAUCGUGCGUGUUCCACAGGUGAGGGCAGGUACCGUGGGCAAAGUCAGAGCUGGCCGCACUGUCGUGGCAACUCACCCCUGAUAAAUAACACAACCACCCAAGGAACGUGGAGGUGGCUUAUCUCAUAACACCAGUUCCCUUCUCUACGACGCAGCGAGGCCAGCGGGAAAAGAGCACCUCCACGGAGCCUGAGAGUUCCUGGAGAGUGUUCUGGAAAGCUGAAUUGAGACGCUGCCCCGUGGCACCGGUAAGGAGGAGGAGGGACGUCACUGGCCCCUGGACGCUUCCUCCAUCACAGGGUCUGAGUCACAGGUCUGGUGCCAGAAGUUUAUGGUUUGUCCUCAAGAGCACAGCUUCGAACAUCUUCCCUGCAUUCCAAGGGGUGGCAUCACUCUGGGCCCUUCUCCCCUUCCCAGGCUCACACACACCCCAGAUCACUCCUGAUCUCAGCACCAUUCCACCCUGGGCACUGUGUGCAGAGCCUCUUCUGCGUGGGACGGGACGGCCGCCCCACGCGUCUGGAUACAGGCACGCCAAGCAGAAGGGCCGCUCCCCCGCCUCCUGGCCACCUUCAGCUCACCUGUCUGGGCACCAGUGACAUUCCAGGAGCCUCUGCGGGGGCGGGAGGCGGGGGGGAGGGGACCCUCAGGCCCGAGGAGGUACAGGUUCUUCUUCCAAAACCCGACACUCACCUGGUGCCCUGACGCUAAGUCUCAAGGCAUCGGCUCAUCUUAACGUCAACAGUAUUGGAGACAAAAGCACCGCUGGAAAAAGAGAGGGGGUAUAACCUCGGAAGUGACCAGGCUCGCACAUGGAAAUGUGGCCGCUCGGGUCCUUCUUCAGGCGUUUUUCAAGGAAGCCAAGUCCUCUUCCGAAUUUAGUUCCCAUACUGCUAUUUUCAUCUCCUCUUUUACUACGUGUGACUUUCUAGCUGAUCCCCUUUGUCCGACACACCAACUUGGUGGCCUCACGGCCAAGGGGGCGAGAGGCCCGGCGUCAGGCUGGUGAAGAAGAAUGGACGCCUCCUCCAAGACACAGAACCGACGGCGGUGGCAAGGCUGACAGGGGGUGACGGGCAUCAAAGGUGCCAACGUUGAGCCGUAAAUAAACACGUCCCGGGAAUACAACAUAAUACGCGGCUGCAGUAACACUCCCGGGGUGUGUGUGAACGUUGCUAAGAGUAAAUUUUAAAAGUUCUCAUCACGAGAGACUAAAUACGAGUAACUGUGUGGGGACGGACGUUAACGAACCUUAUCGGGGUGAUGACGUUUCACAGCUGACGCACCUGACGCGCAUCAAACCAUUAUGCUGCAACCCUUACGCUACGACGACGAUCUGUCAUUUACAUCUCAAACUGCCCAAGUGAAAUUAAAAUUAAAAAGAACAGCUGGAGCUCUCUGGCAGCCUAGCAGUUAAGGAUCCAGGAGUAUCACUGCCGUGGUGCAGGUUCGAUCCCUGUUUGCAAGAGACGCAGCCAAAAAAAAAAAAAAAGAACAGCUAGAGGAGAACUGCCUCUGGGGGCCCUGACCCUGUCCCUACAUCCCUCAAGCCAGCAAACAUCUUUUCUCACACCGGGCAUCAGGAAAAAGAAAAAGCCUUGCUCUCACAACCUCUGUACCAAAGAUAGAUUUAAGGAGAACCGUUUCAAUUAAACAUUGCUCAACCAAAAAAAAGGGGGAGUUUUUCACAACAGACUUAGUUCCAUAACUUACUGGCAGCCCCAAGAGGGGCCACUGUCUGACUUGAGGAUAGCAAAUUCUAGACGACACAGCAGCCAGCCGGCUGUUGAAGGAAAACUCGAGGUGGCUCACUGUGGCCCACGGCAGGGCACAGAGACGCUGCCACUCCCUCCACUGCACUGUCCUGGGGCUGUCCUGCCAGCAAAAGAUCCACCCCGACGCUCCCCCGACCCCCCCCCCGUAAAACCAGGUAGGAGCAGGAGGAGGAGGGAGGCCGCCAGCCUCUCGACGACACGGCCCCCUUUCUCUAGCAAGGUCCAAGCUUUCUUUUGGCCACAGCAACCGAGCAUCAACACGCUAACCAACCGAGCAUCGACACGCUAACCAUCAGCCCCCGAAGACUGGAAACAGAACUUAUAGCAAGAUAUAGAAAAGGCUGGUCCACGGGAACGUGACAAAUGACCCUGAACCACACGGUACAUUGCGCAGCGCAAAGGACACCGUCAGCAACUGCCCCGGCGUCAUUACCGCGCGCCCCUCGGGUGCAGAGCAGAAAGGAAAGCUUUGCUGUCGCUUGCGAUCUUGCUGGGGAGGAAAAAGAAAAUAUUACGUGUAAGAGAACGAGCUGGCAAAAGGCCACCCAGAGGAAAACAUACACAUCUAUCAAGCUCAUAAUGGAAAUCGCCUAAUAAAAAACAGAUUUUUCAACACCAAAUAAACGGUCUGUUUAUUAGGCUGUGCCAUAGCAGAGAAUUAAUAAAACUCAGAGGGAAUCCAGGACAAAGCCAACGAAAACAAGGCACGGCGAUCCUGGGGACCUUGCCGAGACCCUGGGCUCACCGCACCCGGCCCCGCCAUCUGUGACAUGGUUAGUGACUGCGUCUUCCUCGGCAGGGCUGUACGUCCCCACACGGAAAGGGCUGCCAUGUGCCCGUCCCAGUGGGCACGGUCCUGCAGGACGUGGUACCCAGACUCCCAUUUGCACGGGUCACCUGUCCGAGCCAGGGCUCUGCAUCUGCGGCACAGGCGGACCCAGCCCAGGUACUCACUCCCUGAGAGGGCACCGCGUGCCCUGAAGGAUGUUAAACUACAUCCCUGGCCUCUACCCACUGGACGCCAGCAGCACCCUCUCCUCUCGUUACCAGACAGCCAAGAAGGUCCCAGAAGCAGCCAAAUACACCUGGGGCGGCGUGAGUGCCCACCCCCAGCUCCCCAAGUGAGAACCCCUGUUCUGAGACGGAGCCAAGGAAGCUACACGUUUCCCAAGCAUCCACGACAGGGCUGUCUUCCUGGAUACAACUGGCUGCCCCAGUCCCCUUUGCCGGCAUUGCCCCCUGUCCCACACACCAGUGCAGCUGAAGGGAUGACAAUCCCACUUCCUCCCUCUGCCUGGGACACACGGGCACAGCUGCCCCCUUUGCUGGAGACGCCACAGCGUCUCUCAACUGCAACGGCCCUCUGCACGCCAUGGAUGCUGGAUUUGGUCACGACACCUGCUUUGGUCAGAGUGUUAUUCCCAGGC